rnacentral:rRNA from 1 species
UGGGGAAUAUUGCACAAUGGACGGAAGUCUGAUGCAGCAACGCCGCGUGCGGGAUGACGGCCUUCGGGUUGUAAACCGCUUUUUCUCAUGACGAAGUUUUUUGACGGUAGUGGGGGAAGAAGCACCGGCUAACUACGUGCCAGCAGCCGCGGUGAUAAGUAGGGUGCGAGCGUUGUCCGGAAUUAUUGGGCGUAAAGAGCUUGUAGGCGGUUUGUCGCGUCGAUAGUGCAAACUCAGUGCUUAACGCUGAGCCUGCUGUUGAUACGGGCAGACUAGAGGAAGGUAGGGGAGAAUGGAAUUCCCGGUGGAGCGGUGGAAUGCGCAGAUAUCGGGAGGAACACCGGUGGCGAAGGCGGUUCUCUGGGCCUUUCCUGACGCUGAGAAGCGAAAGCGUGGGGAGCGAACAGG